UACGUAGGGUGCGAGCGUUAAUCGGAAUUACUGGGCGUAAAGCGUGCGCAGGCGGUUUUGCAAGCCGGAUGUGAAAUCCCCGGGCUCAACCUGGGAAUGGCAUUCGGGACUGCAAGGCUGGAGUGCGGCAGAGGAGACUGGAAUUCCUGGUGUAGCAGUGAAAUGCGUAGAUAUCGGGAGGAACACCAGUGGCGAAGGCGGCCUUCUGGACCAGUACUGACGCUCAUGCACGAAAGCGUGGGGAGCAAACAGG
rnacentral:rRNA from 1 species